rnacentral:rRNA from 8 species
UUAAGCGACUAAGCGUACACGGUGGAUGCCCUGGCAGUCAGAGGCGAUGAAGGACGUGCUAAUCUGCGAUAAGCGUCGGUGAGGUGAUAUGAACCGUUAUAACCGGCGAUUUCCGAAUGGGGAAACCCAGUGUGUUUCGACACACUAUCAUUAACUGAAUCCAUAGGUUAAUGAGGCGAACCGGGGGAACUGAAACAUCUAAGUACCCCGAGGAAAAGAAAUCAACCGAGAUUCCCCCAGUAGCGGCGAGCGAACGGGGAGGAGCCCAGAGCCUGAAUCAGUGUGUGUGUUAGUGGAAGCGUCUGGAAAGGCGCGCGAUACAGGGUGACAGCCCCGUACACAAAAAUGCACAUAUUGUGAGCUCGAUGAGUAGGGCGGGACACGUGGUAUCCUGUCUGAAUAUGGGGGGACCAUCCUCCAAGGCUAAAUACUCCUGACUGACCGAUAGUGAACCAGUACCGUGAGGGAAAGGCGAAAAGAACCCCGGCGAGGGGAGUGAAAAAGAACCUGAAACCGUGUACGUACAAGCAGUGGGAGCCUCUUAAUGGGGUGACUGCGUACCUUUUGUAUAAUGGGUCAGCGACUUAUAUUCUGUAGCAAGGUUAACCGAAUAGGGGAGCCGAAGGGAAACCGAGUCUUAACUGGGCGUUAAGUUGCAGGGUAUAGACCCGAAACCCGGUGAUCUAGCCAUGGGCAGGUUGAAGGUUGGGUAACACUAACUGGAGGACCGAACCGACUAAUGUUGAAAAAUUAGCGGAUGACUUGUGGCUGGGGGUGAAAGGCCAAUCAAACCGGGAGAUAGCUGGUUCUCCCCGAAAGCUAUUUAGGUAGCGCCUCGUGAAUUCAUCUCCGGGGGUAGAGCACUGUUUCGGCAAGGGGGUCAUCCCGACUUACCAACCCGAUGCAAACUGCGAAUACCGGAGAAUGUUAUCACGGGAGACACACGGCGGGUGCUAACGUCCGUCGUGAAGAGGGAAACAACCCAGACCGCCAGCUAAGGUCCCAAAGUCAUGGUUAAGUGGGAAACGAUGUGGGAAGGCCCAGACAGCCAGGAUGUUGGCUUAGAAGCAGCCAUCAUUUAAAGAAAGCGUAAUAGCUCACUGGUCGAGUCGGCCUGCGCGGAAGAUGUAACGGGGCUAAACCAUGCACCGAAGCUGCGGCAGCGACACUAUGUGUUGUUGGGUAGGGGAGCGUUCUGUAAGCCUGUGAAGGUGGCCUGUGAGGGUUGCUGGAGGUAUCAGAAGUGCGAAUGCUGACAUAAGUAACGAUAAAGCGGGUGAAAAGCCCGCUCGCCGGAAGACCAAGGGUUCCUGUCCAACGUUAAUCGGGGCAGGGUGAGUCGACCCCUAAGGCGAGGCCGAAAGGCGUAGUCGAUGGGAAACAGGUUAAUAUUCCUGUACUUGGUGUUACUGCGAAGGGGGGACGGAGAAGGCUAUGUUGGCCGGGCGACGGUUGUCCCGGUUUAAGCGUGUAGGCUGGUUUUCCAGGCAAAUCCGGAAAACCAAGGCUGAGGCGUGAUGACGAGGCACUACGGUGCUGAAGCGACAAAUGCCCUGCUUCCAGGAAAAGCCUCUAAGCAUCAGGUAACAUCAAAUCGUACCCCAAACCGACACAGGUGGUCAGGUAGAGAAUACCAAGGCGCUUGAGAGAACUCGGGUGAAGGAACUAGGCAAAAUGGUGCCGUAACUUCGGGAGAAGGCACGCUGAUAUGUAGGUGAAGCGACUUGCUCGUGGAGCUGAAAUCAGUCGAAGAUACCAGCUGGCUGCAACUGUUUAUUAAAAACACAGCACUGUGCAAACACGAAAGUGGACGUAUACGGUGUGACGCCUGCCCGGUGCCGGAAGGUUAAUUGAUGGGGUUAGCGGUAACGCGAAGCUCUUGAUCGAAGCCCCGGUAAACGGCGGCCGUAACUAUAACGGUCCUAAGGUAGCGAAAUUCCUUGUCGGGUAAGUUCCGACCUGCACGAAUGGCGUAAUGAUGGCCAGGCUGUCUCCACCCGAGACUCAGUGAAAUUGAACUCGCUGUGAAGAUGCAGUGUACCCGCGGCAAGACGGAAAGACCCCGUGAACCUUUACUAUAGCUUGACACUGAACAUUGAGCCUUGAUGUGUAGGAUAGGUGGGAGGCUUUGAAGUGUGGACGCCAGUCUGCAUGGAGCCGACCUUGAAAUACCACCCUUUAAUGUUUGAUGUUCUAACGUGGGCCCCUAAUCGGGGUUGCGGACAGUGUCUGGUGGGUAGUUUGACUGGGGCGGUCUCCUCCUAAAGAGUAACGGAGGAGCACGAAGGUUGGCUAAUCCUGGUCGGACAUCAGGAGGUUAGUGCAAUGGCAUAAGCCAGCUUGACUGCGAGCGUGACGGCGCGAGCAGGUGCGAAAGCAGGUCAUAGUGAUCCGGUGGUUCUGAAUGGAAGGGCCAUCGCUCAACGGAUAAAAGGUACUCCGGGGAUAACAGGCUGAUACCGCCCAAGAGUUCAUAUCGACGGCGGUGUUUGGCACCUCGAUGUCGGCUCAUCACAUCCUGGGGCUGAAGUAGGUCCCAAGGGUAUGGCUGUUCGCCAUUUAAAGUGGUACGCGAGCUGGGUUUAGAACGUCGUGAGACAGUUCGGUCCCUAUCUGCCGUGGGCGCUGGAGAACUGAGGGGGGCUGCUCCUAGUACGAGAGGACCGGAGUGGACGCAUCACUGGUGUUCGGGUUGUCAUGCCAAUGGCACUGCCCGGUAGCUAAAUGCGGAAGAGAUAAGUGCUGAAAGCAUCUAAGCACGAAACUUGCCCCGAGAUGAGUUCUCCCUGAGACUUAGAGUCUCCUGAAGGAACGUUGAAGACGACGACGUUGAUAGGCCGGGUGUGUAAGCGCAGCGAUGCGUUGAGCUAACCGGUACUAAUGAACCGUGAGGCUUAACCUU